GUCGAACGGCAGCACAGGAGAGCUUGCUCUCUGGGUGGCGAGUGGCGGACGGGUGAGGAAUACAUCGGAAUCUACUUUUUCGUGGGGGAUAACGUAGGGAAACUUACGCUAAUACCGCAUACGACCUACGGGUGAAAGCAGGGGAUCUUCGGACCUUGCGCGAUUGAAUGAGCCGAUGUCGGAUUAGCUAGUUGGCGGGGUAAAGGCCCACCAAGGCGACGAUCCGUAGCUGGUCUGAGAGGAUGAUCAGCCACACUGGAACUGAGACACGGUCCAGACUCCUACGGGAGGCAGCAGUGGGGAAUAUUGGACAAUGGGCGCAAGCCUGAUCCACCCAUACCGCGUGGGUGAAGAA
rnacentral:rRNA from 1 species